GGGCUCUGAAUGCUAUUGCACCACAUGUGUUUUUUAUUGAACAAAUUUCUUUGGUGGCGGGAGCAAUCCUACCGCCAGAGGUUAUAACUAAACCAAACUUUUUAUUUACAGUCAAACUUGAUUUAUUAUUACAAUAGUCAAAACUUUCAACAACGGAUCUCUUGGUUCUCGCAUCGAUGAAGAACGCAGCGAAAUGCGAUACGUAAUAUGAAUUGCAGAUAUUCGUGAAUCAUCGAAUCUUUGAACGCACAUUGCGCCCUUUGGUAUUCCAAAGGGCAUGCCUGUUUGAGCGUCAUUUCUCCCUCAAACCCCCGGGUUUGGUGUUGAGCAAUACGCUAGGUUUGUUUGAAAGAAUUUAACGUGGAAACUUAUUUUAAGCGACUUAGGUUUAUCCAAAAACGCUUAUUUUGCUAGUGGCCACCACAAUUUAUUUCAUAACUUUGACCUCAAAUCAGGUAGGACUACCCGCUGAACUUAAGCAUAUCAAAAGCGGGAGGAA
rnacentral:rRNA from 1 species